UACGAAGGGUGCAAGCGUUACUCGGAAUUACUGGGCGUAAAGCGUGCGUAGGUGGUUCGUUAAGUCUGAUGUGAAAUCCCGGGGCUCAACCCCGGAACUGCAUUGGAUACUGCCUUGCUUGAGUACUGGAGAGGGAACUGGAAUUUACGGUGUAGCAGUGAAAUGCGUAGAGAUCGUAAGGAAGGCCAGUGGCGAAGGCGAGUUCCUGGACAGUAACUGACGCUGAGGCACGAAGGCCAGGGGAGCAAACGGG
rnacentral:rRNA from 1 species